GUCCACGCCCUAAACGAUGGAUACUAAACGUGGGAGGUAUCGACUCCUUCCGUGUUGUAGCUAACGCGAUAAGUAUCCCGCCUGAGGAGUACGGCCGCAAGGUUAAACUCAAAGAAAUUGACGGGGACCCGCACAAGCAGCGGAGCAUGUUGUUUAAUUCGAAGAAACGCGAAAACCUUACCAAGACUUGACAUUUGAUGCAUACCUAAGAAUUAGGGAAUUUAUAGCAAUAUAACAUCAAAACAGAUGGUGCAUGGUUGUCGU
rnacentral:rRNA from 1 species